ensembl:snRNA U4 U4 spliceosomal RNA
AGCUUUGCGCAGGGACAGCGUUGUAGCCUGUGAGGGUUAUCCGAGGCGCGAUUAUUGCUAAUUGAAAACUCCCAAUACCCUACCAUGAUGACUUGAAGUAUAGUCGGCCCUGGCAAUUUUUGCCAGUCUCUAUGGAGG